rnacentral:lncRNA from 1 species
UGGAACUCUUCUAAUAAUAUUCAAAGAGGUCGGCAAUGGAGAUCAUUGAUCUUUCCGUUUUUCGAAAAAGAAAGUGCGAAAGUGCAAUCACCAAAGGGUAUGCUCGUCAAUUCACACGGUGCUCCCCAUUAGCUACAGCACUUACAGGACUUCUAUAAGAGGAGAAAAGGAGGCACCAUGAUUCCAUGUCUACCCAAAACCCACAAAGCAAACAGGAUUGCAUCAUUCCCUGCCCCAGGCACAGCUUGCCUCUAGCUUGCCUUUAGCUUUGCGCCCAAAAACGAAACAAUCGAGCAAAAGAUGGAUCAAAAUGACAACCUGAUGAAAGUCCAGAAUGUUCACAAAAUCAACAGCAAGAACAGCCACUUCCUCAUGAGGGCUUUGAAAUUUGUCAUCUCGAUCUCUCUGCUGUCCUUCGUUGUGUGUUAUUCCUCAGGAUACUCUUUCUUCCCUCACUCCUUCAACCUCUGCUUCUCCACGAUCCUCUUUCGGAUUUUCACUCGCUCCCUUGAGAGGAAGUUCAUGUUCCUCGUCUGCAACGGGAUCUUAGCUUUUCUUGCCAAGAGCUCCUGCAGUUCUAGCAGCUCUUCGCCAUCAGGGUCUGAUCUUGAUGGUGAUGAUGAAUUGUUCAGGAAAAAAGACAGGUCGGCUUUGGAUGACUUACCCGAGGAUGAGAUCAAAGUUUCAGCUUCUGGAUCAUCAGAAGUUGAAGCUGUGACUGCUGAAGAUGCCGCUACUACUGGGUAUAACGAGUACCAGGAAAAUAAUCUGGUUCUUGCGUCUGGAGAAGAAGAGGGGGAGGAGGACGACGAGAAACUUCAAGUUCAAGGAAAAGAUACAGAGGAAGAAGAUGAAGCUGAGCAACAGGAAGAGCAAAUAUUACAAGAAACUGAAUUUGCCAAUACAGGAGCAGAAGAACAAAAUGAAACUUGGGUCGUGGAAGAUGAUGACAGGCUCAGCAAAGAAGAAGAAGAAGAAGAAGAAGAAGAAGAAGAAGAAGAAGAACUAGAAGAACGUGGCUACAUGGGGAAAGAACCAGAAUCACCAGCAGUUGCUACAGGGAGUGAAGAGAUGAUGAGUACGGAGGAGUUGAAUAAAAAGUUCGAGGAAUUCAUUAGGAAGAUGAAAGAGGAGAUCAGGAUUGAAGCUAAAAGUCAGCUGAUUGCAGUGUGACUGCAAGACAAUCAUGUACAUAACGAGCCAACUAAGCGAAUCCCAUCAAGGGUUUGUCCCUUUUAGGGUGGAUGGCGACGAAGCUCUCAUGUUCAUGACUUCUGUUUUCUUUCGAGGUCAUCAUGUUGUCUUUUUCUCGCACCGUUAGUCCUGUCCUAAGAUCAAAUAGCAGCUAAGUUUAAUAAACAAAAUCUCUAGCCUUUCUUCUUCUACCUCCCUCAAAUUAUAUCGCUCUUGACGUUCAACAGCGAAGAACAAAUUUCUAUGCAUCUUCAUCUUCUCUUUACAGCUCUUCAGCAAGAGUAGAAUCCAAGGAAAAGGAAAGACCGAUCACGUCGUAAUCUAUAAAAUGAAAGUUUUGUGUUUUUGACAUCAUUUGUAUUCGUAACUUUCAAAAGUCGCGGUCUAACAAGCCCCCCAAAAAAGAGGAUCAAGCCCGUAAUCUUGGAGGUAGUCCUCUAAUCAUUCGUCGUUCCGUACUCUCGUUCUCUCUUCGCGUGAGACUUAGGGAUUCACGGUGUGAAAGGGACGAACGCGGAAACGGCGCGCUCUUCAGUUGACUUGGGGCUGGAGUAACGUAGAAAACGCUAGAAAGAGGGAGACUCCCCUUGUCGUUGGACAAGUAAUUAUUACUAUGACAGAACUAAAGGGUCAUGCUCUUUCGACACGCUCACGAGUGAUGUGAUCAUGUGAUGUAAUGCCUCUACUCUACUGCAGCAAAUGAAGCUUCCCGGUUCCUUGGCAUCAGAAACAACGGAAGUACCAAAUUCUCAGUAAGAAAGAGAUGAUGACAUUAAGGAACAAGAUAAUCAUGGCUGUUUGAUGAGGGAAGGAGUAAUGAAAAACUACAGCAAUAUUAUAACUUUCUAGAAGUUGUUCACAGCGGCAUAGUCUCGUCUUGUUGGAUAUAUAUCAAACAAGCCAUCUUGGGUCUAAGUGGACUAGUAUUUCUCACUCUAGAAUUCUUGGAAUUCCUACAAAUAGAAUUAGAAUGCAAAUGAUUUCAUAGUUUUAAAAUAGAUAUUCCAAAAUCGCUGAGGGCUAUUUCGGAGGUCACUCCUCAUUUGUGAAGAGGAGAUGGGGAGUUUGAUUCUUCACAUUAUUUGGGAGCUGGGGUUUGGACAUGCGGGUGAGGGAAUAGAGUUUCGCAACUUGUGCAUAAUACAUAGUACAAUGGUUUGUAAAAGAGAGAUAAGAUAAGAUUAGACCAAAAAAAAAGAAAAAGAAGAUAUCUCAAGAUGUGUCUCAGGAAAGUUUUAGAUUUGACUUUGAGAUCAUUAAUUAAAUUAAACUUUGGUGAUUGAUGGGCAAUACCAAGUCAUCUUUUACACAAGGACUUGAAUCUCCAGACCCGCGCUUCUCGUUCUCAUUUUGUUUGUGAGGACAGGAGGAUCUACAUAUUUCCAAUAGAUUUUAACAGUAGCUAGAAAGCGAAGGUCGUAAUAGCUCAUAACAUAAUACAAGAUUUUUGUGCCAUGAUUAGUUAUAUGAUUGCACAUCAUUGAAAAACUUGAACAAAAGUUGCUUAUUUUUAUGACAAGGGACCGCAUCACGAAGGCCACUACUAUCUUUGAGCCUAAAUGUAUUUUGCAUUAUAAUAAUCCAAAGUUGACCAUGCCAACUUUGUGCGACUCUUCAAUUAUUUAGUUUUCUUUCCAUCACAUGCACAUAAAAAUGUUCUUAGAGGCAGACCAGAAGAUGUGGGUGGUGAAGGAAAGGCGAUUGAGAUACAAUAUCUCAAACCCUUUUUAUUAACAACACACUUUAUAACUGCGCAAGACCCACCAAAGACAUGUACUGAUCGUGCACAGAGAAACGAGACGAAGUUCAUGAUCAUCACUAGCUAGGAGAAGCCAAAGUGACUCUGAAAUCUGAGCUUCGACCUCAAUGAUAACAUGCUUUUUAGACAGACAAGAUGGCCUCAGUUAGACUGAGCAGAAGCGCCAAAACCGACUCUUAGACAAUCUUCCCAAGUGGUAGAAAUCCCCUUUUGCUUCUGCCACCUACCUCACGUGCUCUCCAUUGGAGGAGCUCCAAGUGUCGGCUCUUUGAAACGAUGGGUGCCAAUUAUUGGGUGCAUCAUUCAAUUCAAGUAGAUGCAAGGGGAGAAAGUAGCAUUCCAUGACUUGAGACCCUCUUGGUUUCAUCAUCAAUUUCUUGUGGUCUACAUGAUCUUUUCAUAGAAUGUCAAGCUACAUAAUGGGCACACUCAAAUACCCAAUAAUGUAAAAAAAAAAAAAAAAAACCCAAUAAUGUGUUUUUUUUUGGGGAGGGAGAGGUUUUUUUUUUGGGUUGUUGAAACUUGAAAGCAAUUACGUCUAAAAAUAUAAGCACAUAGAAAAUCCUCCAGUGUGGAAGAUUAGGGCACAUCGCAAAAAAAAAUCGUAAAUAUCACGAAGCAAAAUUGACAUCGUGUUAUGAUCCGGAUACUAAAUAGUGUCCUCAAAUACAUAUGCAAUUAUCUUGAUAAAUCAAUAUAAUGUAAGGAUGGUUCUUCAUAACAAUAUGGUACAUCAUACGGGAUUGAUGUUUAGUAUCAUCUUGAAUCGAUGAAAAAAAAACAAACCGUUAAGUCUUGUAUCAGUAUUUAACAGAACUGACAAGCUCAGUACUUUUUUGUCUUUCCUUGAACACAAAUACACAUGGCAAUACUUUCCUUCAAAGAACGACUAUUUCAUGUGCAUCAACAGCAAAUUGGAACAAAGAAAAAAGUUUAGGGCCAUUUUACAUCGCAACGAAACAAAAGACAAGCCCCCCGAAGUGCCAAGAUUUUAAUGUGACAAAGGAAAGGACAUGUUGGCUGAGAACUCCCGGUGAAGGAGACGUUCCUCUCUCUCCUAGUGUUGUGAAAACCGACCAUUCCUUGAGCUCCGUACACUUAUGUGGUCUCAAGAACUCUGCUCAUCAUUUUCAACUUCUCUACCACUUCACCAUAUCCACAAAAUAUCUGUUAAAAUGAGAGCGUGCUAAGCUUUAGACAUGGGGCCAUCUUGAGAGAGAGAGAGAGAGAAGAAGAAGAAGAAAAAGGAGGUUCAUAUUGAACUGGAAAUACGUCAAAAACAGGGGCACGUGACAUUCAAUAAAAAAACGAGUGGUCUAGAGACAUCCAACAAGGGACGGAGAACUGAUGAAACGCGAAGUGUUUUGGCUCUGUCUUGGAGUGUAGAUGAAUCGGUAGUCCCAGUCAUUUGUUCCAAAAUACUCGAUCUCUCCUACACAUGAAAGAACCAUCUGUCCCCAUCCGUAUGUGCAUUGAAAUUCAAUCACCACAGCAGUAUUUUUGUCAGCAGUAUUUUUGUCUAGAGUUAAGCUGUAUACACUCCAAAACCGUCUUCUAAUCGCAAACUAUUAAGUAAAAUGAUCUCCUGAUACGGUACAGGAGCAUAAGAUUUUUCUUUUUCCUUCGGCCGCAGCAUCAUACCAUAGGUGACAAGUUUGUCAUCCCGCACAUUCUUCUGUUCAUUUUCUCAGCCAAACGGCAUAAUGCCCGUGUUCCGUGCGUGCAUAAGGUAAAGCUUGCAUUGGGAAAGCGUUAACAUAGCAUGCACUGUGGUUUAAUAAUUUUGACAGUUUAGGCUUUUUUACAAGUAGGAAUGGUCUAACAAUUACAUAGAACAGAACCGGGGGACUUUUACAAAUGGGAAAAAACAGAGUCCAGUCUGCAAAAGAAACUAGAAGCAAACUAUAUCUGAAACACCCAAGUUCUCAAACACCCUAAAGAAGUCAAUCAACAAUGAUAACAGCUGAAGAGCACUUACUGCCAUUGGCGAGGGUGACUAAGGUUUGAAACAGAAGCAGCUUCUUAGCCCUCUUUUUUCUGGUUGAAUGAAGAGAAAUCGGUGAUGGUUGAAGAAGGAUGAAGUUUGUUGAGUCACGCCUAAUACUUCUUCCAGGUGGGCUUCCACUUAAAAAUUGUAAAUCCCAAAGAGGAGCCGAUGACGCAUGAACUUCUGAUUGAGGUUAAAGUAUUAAUAAACGACCGUAGAGCCAGAGAAAGCCAUUUGGAACGCGACCGGCCAGGAUGUUUCCGUUGCUGUCUCUUAGUUUGCAAGGAAAUCUCCGCCAAGUGAUUGUCAAAUGACUUGACUUGGAUCUUGUCGUCUGUUCUGCAUCCGAAACCGUGUCAGCAUAUGACAAUCCCAUGUCAAGAAACAAAGCAGGGAGAAGAAAUCGGGGGGUGAUUAUGAGGACUCCCACCGAGGAUUUUGUCCAUCUUGCUGUCUUGGAACAGUGAAGGGGUAAUAAACCCUGCAAAUGUCUGAAUUUUCAUAAAUUUUACAGCCAAGCAUUUUUUUUUAAUUAUUCAAUCAAAUACCUCGAUUUUUUAAAUGUUGGUCAACGUAAGAUCUCCGUUAAAUAAAUUACCGUAUCCUAACUAAACAAAAUUAUGUCAAUUCUAUUUAGGUGAUGGGCGAUGAGGAGAGAGGGAAUGUUGACUUGAACAAUCCUAGUCGUUGAAUGCAACUCUAGGACAUCAUUUGAAGAGGCCAUAUCAAACUCCAAUUUGGAUCAUUAAUGGCUGUUUAACGACCUCAGAGUCCAAUUCUUGACAUUUUUUAUCUGUAAUUUUGAUGGAGAUCUCAUAUUAACCCACAUCAAAUUGAGCUACUUCUUUGAUUAAAAAAAUAAUCUAGGCACUCGAUUAUGAAAUGAUUAAAAGUUUAGGCAUUUGUGAUUUGAUUAUCCCUUGUAGGGAACAAGGGAAAUGACACAAAGGAGAAUAUUUCAUGGCAUUGCCACGGAGUCUUCCUCACUUUGGAGCUUAUGUGUAGUGCGUGGCAGAGAAUUUGUUUUUUUCUAUUUGUUUUUUACUCUUCCGUGUUCUCUUUUGCUGAAAAGCCCCCAUAAAGAUGAGGGUCACGGUUUAAUCCUUUAACUUGUAGCAAGUUGCGGUUUCGUCCUUCUAUUCUUUGAAGUAGGGGUGUAAACGGUUCGGUUCGGUUUUUUUGAAAAACCGAACCGAACCGAACCGAACCGUUAGAGAAAAUUUCCGAACCGAACCGAACCGAAUAAGUAGUUCGGUUCGGUUCGGUUCGGUUUUUCGGUUUUCAAAUUUUGGGUUUCGGUUUUCGGUUUUUGAUUUUUAUUAUUAUUAUUAUUAUUUUUUCGGGACGGCUUACCUUCUGUUCGCCAGACUCCACCCAACCAAUCAUCGCUUCGAAAGACUUGGAUUAAAGUGAACAGAACUGAUCUAUGAGAAAUACUUCCUUCCAUUUGGGCAAAAAAGAGGAAUACUACAAAACAACUAAAUAAUUCCCCCGAGCCCACAAAUCGCUUCCUCCCAACUUCGGAGACAAACGGCAGACACUUCACAUCUUUCCUCUCCGACCAUCUAAUCUCCUUCAAAGCGUGAAAUUGAAAGGACCCUUUAGUCCAUCAACAAGCUCAAUUCCAGCCAACGCCAUGCUUCCCUACGAAAAUAAGAUCCGACCCAGUGUAAUUUUGUCCCUUCAACUACAAGAUCAGAGACACCAACACCACCGACCGGAGAUCCGACACCAUUCGCAGACCACAAGGACGUCAAUCCGCACAAAAAAAAAAAAAAUCGCAUCUUUCGAAGUCCAAGCAUCAGCAAAACCGAAACAGGCAAACCGAAAACUACCAAACAAAGCCGGGCACAUCGAGCUAGAGAUGCGAGAGCAAAAACCGGAACCUCGAGGACGACGACCCACGAUCGCAGGAAGCGAUGGAUGAGAAGAGGUGAACUCAAAAGAGAGGAGGUACCUUCGAUGGCUCGAGAGAGAGAAGGAGAGGAAGAGGGCGAGGAAGCGGCGGCGACUGGAGUAGGAAUUGGAGGUGGACGACUCGGACAGGGAGGUGGCGAGGGGCUUUUAUAUGGCUAUCGCCGUCCCUACCGCCGUCGCCGUUGCAGUCGUCGUCCCUGCCGCCGUCGCCGUUGCACCUCCAAGCCGACCAAGAGGAGACACGAGACGAGAGGAGAGGGCCAGAGUCGAGACAGAAUAAAACCUAGAGUCGGGACUGACGGGACGGGAGAGAAUAAACCGAACCGAUAAAAGAGAUUUUAUCGGUUCAUGGUUCGGUUCGGUUUGGUUAACCGAUAAAAACCGAACCGAUAAAAGAUAUUUCGGUUUUUAACGGGAACCGAACCGAAAACCGAACCGAAAAAACCGAUUUUUUCGGUUCGGUUCGGUUCGGUUUUCGGUUCGGUUCUUGACACCCCUACUUUGAAGCAACCAAAUUCUCUAAAUUGCUGAACACAUUCCCUACUUCAGUACAUAGCUCUGUGACGUGGGAAACGCGGUGCUGGUCUGGCAUGCCGCACCAGCAUAACACAAGAGGCCACUAAAAUGAGGCCACUAAUCUCUAACACGCCAACGUAUUCUAUAUAAAAAUUUAUGACUGAAUCAAUACGGUUUGACCUAUAAUUUCUCGUUUAUGUACAUCAAUAAGAUCCUACCAUUUAGCAGCAUCUCAAAUUUAAUUUUGGUUCCUAUAACAUUCUGUGAUCAUAUAGUUAAAUUUUCUUUGGAAUUUCAGCAUAAAAUUCAAUUUUCUCCCAGAAGUGCAUGGAAUGGCACUUAAUUUAGGAAUAUGUACUUUAAAAUAUUCACACUUUAUUUUUGCAUAUCGAAAAUGCAUUUGGCGGACCUUCUUUUUCUAAUGCUCUGGAGAUGUUUUCAAGAAAUAAAUCAGAGGAAGAUAAGACAUAUACUUUUGAGUUUUCCUAUUUUUUUUUUCUUUUAAAAGAUCAAAUGUAGCAACGACAGCAACAUUAAAAAAAAAAAAAACUCUAAAAUGAGGAAAAACAUUAUUUCAUGAAAUUAUUUAGACAGGUCUUUCCAGCCGGCCCAGUUACAUUAUAAGGCCUCAAUUCUCAGUGCAAGCCCAUCAUCUCCAUCUCGAAUCUUGAACUACCCCGUGCAAUUUAUAUCGGUCUGUCAUCAGUAUCCUCUCUUUCAUCCAUUGACAAGGCGCACCAGAAAAUGCUUUGCCACCACUCAUACAUAUGACCUAAAAGAAACAGUGCCCCGAAAAGGAAUGAAGACACUGGUUCUGCAAUCUCAGUUCCUUCCAAGAAACACCGAGCUCUCCAACCCAAGAUCUAAUGUCACCACUGUCAUCCCCUCAAGAAUCAUCACAUCAUGCAGUAAGCACCACCCUCCACCACCUCCUUCUUCAUCAGAAUCAGCAUCAGCAUCUUCCGGAUGCAAUUCCAUUGCAAGACCCACAAAAGCCAUACAGAAGUCCCAUAAUCAGCACUCUCAUCAUGUUUCACUAGAUGGGGGUUCAAGAAAGGUGGUUUUAGGUGCUGUUUCACUUGGGAUUGUGCUAUUCCUUAUGGGAUUUGAAGACCACCGCAACAAGGCUUUGGCCUUCGGUCCAGAAGGGCCACUUGCAGAGGAGUUCUGGGACAAUGUCAGGAGAUAUGCACUCCAUGCCCUCACAGUGAGUACAGGCGCUAUUUACACCAUAUUUCAGCCCAUCCUGGAGCUGCUCAAGAACCCGAUUUCUGCGAUCCUGAUCCUGAUGAUCUUAGGAGGUAGCAUCUUCAUUGUGUACCAGGUGGUGGCUACCAUGGUUGGGGUUAACGAAUUCUCUUAUGAUUAUGCAUCUUAAUUGAUCCAAAGUCUCAAUUUCUCCUGAAGAUAGAUUCUCUCGUGUCUUUUCAUGUUGCUCUCUGCUUUUAUUCCUUCGAUACAUGAACCAUAGUUCUUGGCACAGUAGAACAUUACCAAAGUCUUGUUCAGAAUACAUGAUGAUAUUAAUUGCUGAUUGAUCUUGCCUAUCUCUUGCAUAAUGUCCUAUAAUGUCAGUCAAUGAAACAGGACUCUGUAACUAUGUGUUGAAUGCUUGACAUAUUAAAACGUAUCCAAUUACGAAUAGUUUGGUUUUGGAGUUUGCGAUGGUUAAAUACUCGAUAGGGCAGCACAGUUUGUUAAAUAGCACGAACGAGUCCUUGAGAUGUGUUUAUUUUCGAGGCACAAUGUUGUCUCAAGCAGUUGACAACUAAAGCAUAGACUAAUCGAUUGAUCAGCUCAUGUUCUAUUGCAAAUAUAUAGAGCACAAUCAACAUAAUUAACCUGGCCAUUGUUAAUAAGAACAUAAUAUAUUCGCACUAUUAUGCCAUGAACAUACGAAUUGUGAAUUAUUUUUAAUGAGUACAAAUGCUACAUCCUCAAUUAUUUUAGUAAAAAUUAUUGUAUUCGACCACACGCUAUAAAAUCAACAUAAUUAACUUGGCCGUUAUUAACAAGAACAUAAUAUAUUCGCACUAUUAUGCCAUCAACAUACGAAUUGUCAACUUGUAUUGGUAAAUGCAAAUGCUCCAGGCUGGAAUAUUUUAGUAAAAACUAUUUUCCACAACGUGAUAUAGAAUCGACAUAAUUAACUUGGCCAUUAUUAAUAAGAACAUAAUAUAUUCACACUAUUAUGCGAUGAACAUUCAAGUUGUCAAUUAUUUUAAUUAAUACAAAAUGCUACAUGUUGAAAUAUUUUAGUAGACACUUUUUCAAAAAAUGCUAUAGAAUCAAUGUAUUUAAUUGCUCUAUUUAGUUAUAUAAUUGGCUCAAAACGAGCUUUUUUUCCCUGAGAUUGGCUUUGGCCCUUCAUUACAUAGCUUAGAAAAUAGGCGGAGAAGGCCUCCUUCUGAAGUUGUCUGAGCCAUUAGUAAAAUACUACUCUAGAAGAUCUCUCAUUUUCUUUUUCUAGGUUUAUUGAUUUUGAAUCGAUUGAAUGCACUUCUAACACUUGUUUUACUAUUGGAAGACCCUGCAUUAUAACAUCGAAUCUAGAUUUUUCAUAUAUAAAUGUGACUAAUGUAUCACCUAUGUAAAGGAUUUCUCCGUAAUGACCACGGAUAGUUGUUUUUGUUAAAUAUGUAUGAGUUUAUAAGUGUAAUUUCAGAAAAGCAUUAGAGGAACACUUACAUUAGCAUACCCUAAAUAUAAUUCAUAGAUCUUAUGCAUGGUACUAUAAAAAAUCCAUACAUUGAAGAAAUUUCUUUUUCUAACUGGGGCACCGGGUUCGGUCUGUAAUCAUUUCUUAUCGCUACCAAAAGAACUCUAUUCUGUGCGUGUGGUGUCAGAUAACUAUCUUUCGUGAGUAGGAUAUCUAAGAAUACUCCAUGAAUUACUUCAGAAAUGGUGAAGAGUAAGGACAGAAGCAGCAAAAGAGAAAAUGAAGAAAAGAAUAACAAUGGAAUCUGGAAUGCAAAGACAGGUCAGUCAGCUUGGACAGUAGGAAAUCUUGCUUUGCCCUCUUGACAAAAGGAAAAAGUUCAUACGCAAACUCGAGCUGGAAGAGCACAAUUCUGCAUAUACGCAGUCAAGAUAACUCUCUAACUCCAAAGUAGUAGAAAACUAGACCAGCCAGCUCCCACAUAACUAACUAAGCAAAAUCAUAGUUGUUGACACUUAAUUUUUUGCAAAUCUAGGAAAAUAAAGAAAAUAAAAAUUGCAUUGGAACAAAAAAAAGAAAAAAAUGAAAAAAAAAAUGGGGGAAAUUGAUUUGAUUAAUUAUGCAUAGUACAUUGGAAUUCUGAUGAAUUUUCGGAUUUUAUUAAAUGUAGAAACAAUUUAAAAAUCAAGUGAAUAAGGGGCAAGAGUUUUUGCAAAAUAGAAGAAAUUCGAGUAAAAUCUUGUUAAUUGUGAAAUCAUACUCUAAUUUAUAGUUUUGAUUUAAUGUGACUGGAGAUGGAAACUCAGAAAAUGCUAUACAAAGCGCUGUUCGAAAUCAUUAUAAAAGAGAGGUUCACUUUUCGUAACUAAGGGGGAAUUGGAAAAAAUUGAGAGCAAAUACGUGAGAAGUCUUUUCCUACGGAUUUUCGAAAAAAUUCAGAGAGAAAAUUCGUGCAGUAAAAGAAUUCGUGAGAAAUGGGGUGGUAUUUCGUCUUUUGUGAAUUUUGGUUUUCCUUUUAUUCAUUCUUCAAAGUCAGCAAAAAGGAGUCUUGCUUUUUGCUUUUGAAAUUCUGAAAAAUCAGCAGAGAGAGGGACGUGUGAGGAGACAGGGCAAUCGAAGUGAGAGAAAAAGAAAAACAAAAAACAAAAAAAAAAAGGAAAAAGAAGAACAGUCGUUCUUCUUCUUCGCAGGCCUCGCCCGCCGGUGACCCCUGCUGCCCGAGUCGACGCCCAUCGACGCGCCUCUGCACCUGCGACCUGCUGCUGCCAAGGCCGACGCCGGAGCUCCGAAGCCUGCCGCUACUGCUCGUUCCCAUCGCGCCAGCCAUCAUCGUGCCGAAGCCGCUCCCCGCGCCGGUCACAUCGUCCCACCAGCCGCCGGAGAUCCCUCUCACCCACGAGCUCGCUGCCGACACCGACGCCCGCGCCACCUCCGCUCCGUUCGAACACCGCUGCCGAGCCGAGAUCCAGGCGCCGGAGCUCCUCGCCGCAGCCGCCCGAGUCCUCCGCCCGUGACCUGCAGUGCCCGACGGCCCCUCCCGUCUCUACCGCUGCCGACGACCAGCCGACUCCGCCCGUUGUCCGAGCACCGGCCCCCUCCGAGCGACCGCACCACAGCAACCCUAGCUGCUCUCACGACGCAUGACCCGCGACGGACGACCCGCCUGCAACCUGUGAGAUCUCGCACCGUCGCUCCACACCUCUGCUCCGCUCACGAAGCCGCCGUUGCUGCCGAGCCGCUCCACUAGCCCGACGCCCCGACGCCCUCGCUCGCCUGCUGCGCCCGGCCGUCGUCCUCCGCAAGCUCCACCCGACGCUGCUCGCCACCACGCCGGAAUCCCCCUCACCGGCGACUGCUCUAGCGCUCGACGUCCGCUCCGCCUCUGCUCCGACGCCGCUGUUUCCCCCGCGACGCCCCCUCGCCGGAGACCCUCGCCGGUGACUCUCCUCACCGGAGCAGCCCCCCACGGUUGCCAAGCCCAAUUUUGAAGAAAGAAAAAAAAAAAAAACACACACACACACACACACAUUAGGUAGUUUUUUUUUUUUAGUUUGUUUUUAUUUUUAUUUUAUUUUACUUUAUUUUUUUAGUAUAAUUAGUCCGACAUAGGAAAUUCCAACAUAUUACAUGAUUUAUAACUGCGUCUAAGUUUUUUUAUUUCAUCUAUAAGAUUUUAGAUAAAAUAAAUUAAUUAAAUAUGAAUAAAAUUGAUAUUUUGAUCUUUAAGGCCCUGUUUGGUAACCAUCCAAACAUGGCCAAAUUUUGAUUCUUUGUUCCCAGAAUCAGUUUCGGCCCAGAAUCGCGUUUGGUAACUUUUUUAUUCCCGGGAACAAAUUUGUUCCCAGAAUCAGUUUUGGACAAGAAUUUAGAACCAAAAAAAAGUUGAUUCUUGUUCCGGGAACGAAUUUGAGAAUCAAAAUCAACAAAUUUUCUUCUUCCCUUCGGCCAUCUCGCGACCGCCGUCCACCACUGCCCGCCACCAUCCGCCAUCCGCCACCGCCGCCGCCGUCUGCCGCCGGCCGCCGGUCCGCGAGCUCGCCAGACCAGGGCGAGGUCCCGGCGAGCUCGCCGGAGGCAAGCCCAGCCACCGGCGAGCUCGCCGGGGCUGGGCGAGGCCUCGCCGGGACUGGGCAGGGGCUGGGCGAGCCUCGCGACGCCCAGCCCCACCGGUGGCCAGGCAAGGCUUGCCUGGCCACCGGCGAGGCUCGCCCAGCCCCGCUGGUGGCCUGGCAGGCCUCACCCAACCCUGACGAGGUCGGCCUGGCCACCGGCGGGGCUCGGCCGAGCCUCGGCGGGCUUAGGCGAGCCUCGCCCGGCUGCCGGCGAGGCUCGCCCGACAAGGGCUGGCCUCGCUAAGGGCUGGCGACGCUCCGGUGAGGUCGUCAGCCCUCGUCUGGCCGGUCGCCGGACCGGCAGGAAGAAGAAGAAGAAGAAGAUGAGAAAAAGAAAAGAAAAAAGGAAAAAAAAAAGAAAAAGAAAAGAAAAAAGGAAAAAAAAAAGAAAAAGAAAAGAAAAAAAAAAGGAAAAUGAAAGAAAAAAAUGAAAAAAAGAAAAGAAAACAAAGGAAAAAAGUAAAAAAAUUAUUUAAAAAUUAAAAGAAAUUGAUUUGGAACAUAAUUAAUGAACACGGUACCAAACGCAAUUCUAUUCCAGAAUAAAAAAUUUUGGACAGUUACCAAACGGCUUAAAAUGCUUAGAAUCAGUUCCCGGGAACAGAAUCAAAAAGAAUCAGUUCUGAUCAGAAUCAGCUCCCGGGAACAGAAUCGUUACCAAACGCGCCCUAAGUCUUAAGAUCAACUUAUUGAUUUUGUCAGCGAAAUAUUACUCAUUUAUCUGAACGAUGUGUGAUAUUUUUGAUGACUUUAGAUGAUCUAUUUUAUCAUGAUUACUUUAUUUAUCUUGAAAUGUGUUUGAAUUAGGUUAUCUCAUGCUUUAGGAUAAUUUACAUAUUUAGACUAAGAAUUUUAUUUAUUCUGAAUUUUUGAAAUAAAAAUACCAAAAACCUGAAUUUAGGAUGUUAGAUUUUCAUUUCGUUAAUUUGAAUUGCAUGUUUAAUUAUUUGAUAUUUUUUUUAAUUUCAAAAUUAAUUAAAAAAAUCAUCAUGUGUAUGCCAUAUAAGAUUAGGGCAUCAUUUGUAUGUCAUCGCACAUUAUGGUAAAAUUGCAUAUUUUAUUUUAAGUUUAAAUUGAUUUAGAUAGACUACAUCUUAAGUUAGAAAUUGGUAAGUUAAGAUAACAUCUUUGUUUUAAUUAGGGUUUAGCCUGACCUAAUCCUUAAUAUAAGUUAGAUAGAAUCUUAAUUUAGCUAGAUAAUUUUCACAAUUUUCUAAUUUCGAAAUUUCAUAAAAAAAUACAAAAAAAUGUCUUUGAAUGAAUUAGUUUCAAUCUCUAGGAUAGAUUGCAUUUUUUCAAAAUAAAAUAAAAUAAAAAUGUCAUUGCAUGUCAUUUAGAAUUAGAUUCAUGAAAUGCAUGCUAUUUAGUGAUGGUUGCUAGGUCCGUUCAAUUAGAAAUUACAUGUAAUGAAUUAGGUCAUUUAGUUAAUAUUGCAUAUUGCAUGAUUUUCAUUGAUCAAGUGAAAACAAAAAAGAAAUUGCGUGUUAAUUAGAAAUCAUAUCUAGGGUUAUUGAUGUAGAUUCUAAUUUAACGUUGUAGAUGCUUUGGUUGAGGUAAGUUUUUGCAAUUUAUUCAUUGUUUAUUUGAGUAUUAAAUUGGUGGUUUACGCACCCGUAUAAUCACAUCACAUGGUAGGAAUAUAGAUUUAAAAUCAAUUUAAGUUGCCUGCAAAAACAUUUUUGAAAAUAAAAGAAUGGUACCGAAAGGACAUUAGAGAAAUCUAGUGUAAUCAAGUCCUCGUACCCAUAGUCUCUGGUUCAUAGGAGUAAAGUAAACUCUCAUUACUUUAUUUGGAUUUCUAAUCGACCCACCAAAAAUAGAUUAGUAACGACUCCUAGAUAAAAUAUAUCUGCAUGUUAAGAAUUUGAACAUAAAUUACGUAUUGGUAAGGCUUGGGAGAAUCCGAGUUAAGUCUACGCUUAACAAUUCAUUAGUCUAAUUUUAGGUGGUGCACCCAAAAAUUAGGUCGCGACAAUAGUAUCUCUCAAUCUAUCCAAACGACUACUUCAUUAAUCCGAUCCCCCCCCCCCCCCCCCCCCAAUAAAAUAGCCAAAUAACCAGAUAAUUCCAAGAUUAAAAUGACACCGGGUAAUUUCAGCAGAAGAAACAAAGGAAUCCACACACCUCUAGGUCCUAUGGUAACAGACAAAGCGUCAGCUAAUGUAUCAAUCCCAGAUUGAAGAGCCGCUCUGCAUUCCUCGCCCAAAGAUAUCUUCUUUGGACCUGCCUUUACCCCAAAGUUUCGAACUUUUUGCCCGUUUCUCCAUUGACCCAAUACCCCACUAUUUCCACUCAGAUUCUGAACAGUGCACAGCGCCAAUUCUUCAAUCUUAAUUCAAAGAAGUACAAUUCGUAAAAGGGCAUGAAGAAAAUGAGGGAAAACACAAGACCGGGGAAUUCACCGGAUAAGGGUAGCUUCUGAGGGAGGAUUGAAGGUGCUGUGAAGGGGGCAGACAUUCUUAUUUGAGGGCGGUUCUUCCUGGUCGUUGUUGUUGUUAUUUUUUUGUUUGUUUGUUUGUUUUUUUUUGUUUUUUUUUUGCGGGGUUUAAACUUUAAUGUUGGUCCCUGGGGUCGGGUCAAGCGACAAGUUACCCUGGGUCGGCGACAUGGGCUCUUUUCUUGGGCAAUCGAUAAGUUUUCACUAUUACUGUAUGUUUUUGUGUCUCGGAUGAUUUAAAGGGACACAAAUUUUGGAAAGAUAAAAUCUUAGUGGGAGUUAACACACUCAAAUUUUGGAAAGAAACUUUAGAAUUGAAAUUUUUUUGGCUGAGUCGAUGAAGGCGAAAGAAGAGAAGCUUAAAUGACACCCAUGUAUAAAGGGACUACCAAAGAGCGAAUGCUUUCUAUAUCUCGAAUCUAUUUUGCCAAAAGAGAAAGGGAAAGUAGAUGGAGAUAUCACCAAUGGAGUUCAUACAAUAUAGAUAUUCAGUGUGAUAAGCACAUUGAUAUAAUAAUGACAUAGCGAAAUUCAUAUAACCAACUCCAUACAGUGUGAUAAGAUUGAGCCUGUCGUUAUAGGUUUCAAAAUUUGCAAAUAAAACUUAGGAAGUGUGGGUUUUUAGGAUGUUUCUAGAAAUAGGUGCAAAUAUGCUCUAAAUCUUUUACAUUGAUACAAAUUUAGUUAUAAACUUUUCAAUUGAACUAAUUCAGUCCUAAACUUUUUCAUAUUGGUACCAAUUUAGUCUGUCCGGCCAAUUUAAACUAGAAAUUGAUGACGUGGUUGCCAACAGUCUUACGUGGCGUCGCCGGUACUGAUGUGGACAAACUUUGUAAAUUUUUAAUCUUUUUUUCUCUUUUUUUUCUCUUUCUCCUUAACCCCUUGGCCAACGAGGUCACAGGUUGACCAUCAUUGGCCAUAGGUUGGUUGGGGGCAAGGGCCCCUGUGCCCUCACUAGCCACAGGUGAGGGCGUCAGCCUUUGCCCAGAUCUAGGUGAGGGUCGAAACCCUUGCCUAUUGGCCGAUGAGGGUGCAAAGGGCCUUGCUCCUGGCGGGCGAGCGCCGCAAUGCCUCAGGCGAGGUCGUCGUGGCCCUCGCCUAGAUCUGGGCGAGCGCCGCCACACCCUCACCCGCCAUGAGCGAGGACUACCGUGCCCUCGUCGGCCAACGGGCAAUGAUUUAGGCCCUCGCUUGGAUUUGGGCGGGGGCUGACGCCCUCACUUGUGGCCGGCAAGGGCACAGGGCCCUCGCCUUGACUAGCUUGUGGCUAACAAUGGUCGAUUGGCAGCCUCGUUGGCCAAGUGGUGAGGAGCCAAAAAAAGGAAAAAAAAAAGAGAAAAAAGAAAAAAAUAAUUAAAAAAUAUUAAAAAAUUUAUAAAUUUAUAAAUUUUGUCCACAUCAAUGCCACCAGCGCAACGUGGGACUGCUAGUGGCCAUGUCGGUAAUUUUCGGCUUAAAUUGAUCCGAUGGACUGAAUUGGUAUCAAUGUAAAAAUAUUUAGGACUGAAUUAAUUCAAUUGAAAAGUUUAUAAUUGAAUUGGUGUAAAUGCAAAAUGUUUAAGACUUUUUUGGUACUUUCGUUGAACUACCAAAGAGUGAAUGUUUUCUAUAUCUCGAAUCUAUUUUGCCAAAGACAAAGGGAAAAUCGAUGGAGAUAUCACCCAUGGAGUUCAGACAAUAUAGAUAUUUAGUGUGAUAAGCACAUCGAUAUAACAAAGACGUAGUGAAAUUCAUGUAACCAACUCCAUAUAGUGUGAUAAGAUUGGGCUUGUUGUUAUAGGUUUUCAAAAUUUUCAAAUAAAACUUAGGAAAUGUGGGUUUUAGUCUAAAUUAGGAUUUUUCUAGAAAUAGGUGCAAGUAUUUAUUCUGUACAUCAUAUUUCAAUGUCUGCUAACUUAACAAUAAGAAUCGAUCGUACGAAAUGAAGCAGAAGCAUUAUUUAGUUAUAAAUUGUUACAAAGGCCUGUUGGUUGCAUUGAUUGAGUAUAAACUUGCUCAUGGAUGACUUCAAAAAACCUUGGAGUUGUUAAGACAUUUAUAAAGUCGCUAAUCAAAUAAUUUUGAAUUACUAUCAUAUUAGAAAAAUUGUCUUAUGCAAAUUCAUUUUUUGGGUCCGAAAUAUCUACAUUUCAUUAAUAGCUUGCAAAAAAGGGACCCACUAGCGGUGUCUCAAAACAUAGCAGAUCUUUAAGGACCUGUGGAGGAUGAGCUGAUCGGUUUGCCCUCUUCCUGUGGGUCUUCGUCACCUAGUUAGCCAUAUUAUUUGUGGCCCCAUUACAAUGGAUUGGCUUUAAAUAUGGCAACUGAAAGACUUCAGACUUCUAACCGCGAGCUCGCCUCAUGAGAUUUUGCCCUUUUUCUUUAAUCUAUCUUUGGGCAGUCUUUCCACUGGAGACUUUGCUUAAUACUGCUGAUAAGGUUUUCUAGCUUUUGGGAAAGGGCCUUCACAAAAGUUGUAGUUCUCAUUCUCAGCCUAUUUUGGAAAAUACCUUAAACUUUCAAAGGUCUCAAAGGUUUUGCAUUUUCUUAAACACUUUCCCAAGGAAAGUUUUCCCAAACGCACCUUUAAGUCAAUCGACGACUCUAGAAGAAGUCAUCGGUCAGAAUCCAAAAUGGGAAAGGUUUCUGCUUGCUCUGCUGUGGAGACAAGGACAUUCUUUGUGAAGCCAUCGAUUAGAAUCCCAGAUGAGUUGCGACAUACGGACAAUUAAUCCUUCGUAUGAUCCAGGUUGGUGCGCAGCGUCAAUAUUUACUUUUGUUUCUCCCCUUACUAGAGGAAUCCAAGUACCCUCCUCCUUCUUGUUCGCAUCUACUGAUUUUCUGUCCAAGCUUCCCCAUUUACUGAAGUUUUUUAGCAUUUGUUGUGCUGAUUCAACUAGGGACUUCGGAGCAGUAGGGCAUCUUCUAGAGACGAGGCUAUUUCUUGAUUUCCAGAUUUUCCAGUACGACCUAGAGUUCGAAGUUUUCGCGCUGAGGCUCCUGGGAUUCUUCGUGGGUAAAGCAUAAUAAACGACUGGGACUCUCGAAAGCAUCUAGUCUUGAAUAAGAGAAAGCAUUGAGAUAACACAUACUUAGAUCCGAAACGAGAAAGGGGGAGUGGCGAACAAAGAAGAAAAUGUACGGCUUACAAAUUGUUCUGCUACUAGCCCUGUUCGUGUGCUUUUACAUACUCCUGGGGCAGAAAAAAGCCAGGGACCCUCAGACGUACGAUGUGUUUUUGAGCUUCAGAGGUUACGACACUCGCAAGAGCUUCACCGAUCACCUGUACAAUGGCCUGAAGGCUGCUGGGUUCCAUGUGUUCAGGGACAACGAAGGCAUCAGGGCUGGCGAAAAGAUAGACAUCAAGCUUGAACAGGCCAUCAGGAGUUGUAGGAUCGCGAUUCCCAUCAUCUCUAAAAACUAUGUAGAGAGUAAAUGGUGCCUCCGAGAGCUCACUGAGAUUAUGAAUUACCGCAAAAAGCACAACAUACGAGUCUUUCCUGUAUUCUAUGAAGUAGAUGUUCUAGAUUUAUGUGGCCCAAGCGGUCGUUUUGCGGUCGAUCUAGCAAACCAUAAGGCCAAGUACCGCAAGGAAUCGCAAAAAUGGGCGAAAGCACUGACUUCUGUCGCGCGGAUUAGAGGAUGGACAUCACAGACCAUUGCUGAUGGGUAUGUAUGCAUGAAUGUCUGUCUGUCUGUCUGUCUCUGUGGAUGUAUGUAUUUCGAAUCUACAGAUCUGUAUCCGUCACAAAUCUGGUUCUGAAUCCCUGUGAUACUUGGAUGGAAAUGACCGAUCUGGAGUCGCUGAAUUAGGAGAAGGGAGGAUUCAAACUAUACGCCUAAUCUUUGUUUUAUAAAUCAAUAUUUGGGCAGGCACGACGGAGAGCUGGUGAAAAUGGUGGUCGAAAGAGUUUCGAGUGAAUUGCAGACAAUGUGGAUCGAACGGCUCCCCAUAUUUCCUAUGUUGAUGUCCAAUUACCACAUAAGAUCAGGUAUCUUCCAAUUCCAUUUUAGCCAAGUGCCUAUUAUUCGUUAAGUAUAGUCGGUGUUCAUCACAUGAGAGCUUUGGCCUCUCGUCAUUUCUCAGGUGAAGAAGGCAUGUAAGCUUUGCGUGGUUUAUGACCUAAACCGAUUUUGUGGCUCUUAAAAGUUACUUGGUCAUUUUGAAUUUUCCUUUGAUUCGCAAUGGCUGCAUCUUGUCAUCAUCCCUUUUGUUUUGUCUUGUUGGAUCACAGCGUAUGGUUACUUUUCGGAGAAGAAAAGAGGAGAGGUGUUCUUGACCUUUCACCCUGAUACACGACCUGGCUUUGCUGCUUACCUCUAUGGCAGCCUUGUGGGUGCAGGAAUUAGAGUGCUUAGAGAUGAUCAUCCGUACCUGAUAGGUACACAUGUUAAUCAAGGGAUUUUGAAUGCCAUCCACCAUUGCAAGAUAUUAAUUCCAAUUCUCUCUGAAAAUUUUGCUUCUUCUCAAUGGUGCCUUGACAAUCUUGCUGAGAUGGUUGAUUGCAAGAGAAAAAAAGGGCAAAAGAUAUUGACCAUUUUCUACAAAGUGAAGUUCUCGGAUGUGAAAAACAUCUCGGGUUCUUUUGGAAAGAAUAUGCUUGAACAUAAGGAAAAGGUCCGGCCACUUGUCUAUGGCAGGUGGGAGGAAGCUCUUGAUGAGAUCACGUCCUCCAAAAUAUGGGAAUCAGAGAAAGUCGCCAAUGGGUACUUACUUUCAUCAUAUUUCCAUCAAAACCUUAGUUUGAUCCUAUUACAGGAAACUCUUAUACUACUUAAAGCUUACUUCAAAUUUAUUUGGCAAGUGGCAGGAAUGAAGCUGAACUUUCGACAAAGGUAGUCAAGGAGGUUUUGAUGUUGGUGACAAAUCCCCAGAAGCUUGAUCCAUCCUAAUAUUGACUCAAUCUUGAAUUUGGUAACUACUCGUUUUUAGCAUAUGUGGUUCCCGUGUUACAAGAGGAUUUUUCUCAACCAUCAAAUGUAUCAUCAUUUUUUGUCCGUCCUUCCCAUUGAUUUUCCCGUAGACCGGCAAUAAGUUGUUGUGGAGUUAAAGAAACAUGUUACGCUUGUUAUGUCGUAUAAUUUCUUUAAUAAAUAUGUCAUUUUUAGACUCAGCUGUGACCCCAUCAAUGAAUGUAUCGUGUUCGGAUUUGACAAGUCUGUUCUGUACAUAUAGAAAGAAGAUAUGAUAAUAAGUGGGAAUGUAGACGGGCGAAAGGAGGAGAGAAAAAUGUCUAAGAUAAUAAGUGGGAAUAAAUGUUUUCCCAUAUUCUUUUUCAAAUCUUAUUUUAUGCUGGAAUGAGCUGAGUUUUCGACUAGUUAUGGUACGGAAUAUGUACUAGACUUUAUUAGAAGGCAAUUUGUAUUUUAUGCUGCAACGAGUUGAGUUCUCAUCAGAGGCUGGGUGAACCUUUGCCUGUGGUCAAUGAGGGACCUCGCCAGUCAUUGUCUCUGAUUGGUCACUGAGAUCCAACAAUCGAUUGGAGGAAGAAGGAAGGGAAGGAAAAAAAAGGGAAAGAGAAAGAAAAAAUAAAAAAGAAUAAAGAAUAAAAAAUUUAAAAUAUAUUAAGAUAUUAUUAAAAGUUGUAUACGGUAGCGUUGGUGUCAUGUAAGCCAACUAACGUCCACAUCAACAAUGUCCGGUCAAAAUUAAUUGAAAAAACUGAAUUAACACUAUAUCAAAAGUUUAAGAUUAAAUUGACAUCGAUAAAAAUGUUUAUAAGUAAGUUAGUAUAAAUGUAAAAGGUUUAAGAUUUUUUUUGGCACUUUUCCUAAGCACCCACUACAUGCCUAGGAACAAAAAAGUCAUAUGAUUGUAGCAAGUGGAUCAAAUUCUUGAAGAAUGGAACGAAAAUCCUCUAAAGAGACAAACUUACAUUCCAUUGGGAGUAGCAACAAUGACGAAUGGAGUUGCACCUUAGUUUUGGGGUCUGUUCUCCGUCCCUAUAGGUUGCUUAGGUUGUAUUUGACAACAAUUGGACAUUGAAACCAGUAUUUUAUCAUACUUUGCCAAUUUCAACAUGAUAGAUUCGACAAGAAAUGUGAAGAAACUUAUACCUGGAGAGUCGAUUAAAUAAGGCCAUAAACAAACAUCAACAUGUCGAAAUACCUUACGAAUUGUUCUUAGACCACCAAGAAUCAGUCGGAAAAUGCCUCUAAACCGAUUAAAUCAAUCUGAUCGAAUUGGUCAACUUUAAUCCCUAAAGCCAAUGCUGGUCAAUGGAUGAUGUGGCAGGUGCUUACGUAGAAAUGACGUCACGGAUGACGUGUAGGUGUGUGGGACACCAGAGGCACGUAGAUCUCACGAGCAGAGAGGUUGGGCGGCGCGUGCGGUGUUUGUUUGAAAAGUGGUCACCGUGUUUUGACUUUUCUAAAGAUUUUGAGGCUGAUGGGGGUGUCUAUCAUUAGAAACAACCAACCAAACGUGUGAAAAUUGCACUCACAACCAAAAGAGUUUCGAUUCAUUUGCAUGGAAAAAAGUUUUUGUCCUAACUUGAACCCUGGGUGUCAUGGGUGCCUAAUUCUAGUUAUUCUGCUUCUGCCUCAAUCAUGGAUUUGACCCUGUCUCGGUGUUUUAUCACAUCACGUGCGCAAUGCACCCACAUGUUGAGUCUCAAAUGACAGGAUAAUCCUGACGCAAAUGGGAGUAUCGAGAUAGCCUCAAUCCCCCCUGUCUAUUCAGACCUUCAUCUUUCAGGUCAAUUUGUCUGAAUCAUGUGUGCACAUGAUCAUCAUCUAUGAAUAAAUUCUGGAUUCCAAACACGCCUUAUUUCUUAAAACGGUAGUAUAAAAUAGAUGGAGAAAGCAAAUUCUAUGCAUUUUCAUACUUCAACAACAACAUUCAGAUACAUAUUUCGUUGAAAUCAAAUCAAUGUGAAAACCACCAAUCCCAAAUCUUAUUGCACAUUAAACAUUCGAUAGUAUGCAUCAAUGUUAUAGGGGGCGUGAAAAUCGGUCUGAAUCCUCCGAUGUAACUCUUAUAUUGGAUCAAGCUAGUUGUCUGGGCAUCCGAGAAGAGGGAAGAAGACUUUAAAUAAUGACAAAAUGAAUUAAUGACACUUAUCUGUUUUUAUCCAAACAGUAGAAAAAAGGCACAUUGAACAAACAUCCUUCAAUGUCCAUCCUAAUUAUUUGAUUCAAGUUCAGUAAAAAGAUCUUUCAUGUCACUGCCGAAUCUACCACAGCUGGUUGACACUCUUCCCGAGUGGCUUCUAUCUUCAGAAUUUGCCCUUCUUUCAUUUCCUUGCAAGUGUGCAGGUUACAAUUCUUUUCUAGAAUGUGAUUCAUGAAAGUAUGGAUAAAUGUUUUUUAUGUUAAUUUUCGUCCAAGCUUGGGAAAUAGUUGAACUGUUCUUUAUCGAUUGUCCUUACUUGUCAAAGCAACAGUCUUCCGAACGUCCGUGCUUCCUGAAUAGAAGAUUAUGAUUUCCCGACUCUCGAAAUCGCAAAAAAAAAAUGCCGUGUUUGCUUUUGGGGCUUAGCUUACUCGCUAGGAUUCUGGACAAGUUUUAUUGAUUUUCGCAGUUGAAUGAGCAUUUUCUCAAAUAAGUGCUGCUGAAGCCAUUUUUCUGCUCAUAAUUGAUCAUAAACUCUCCCGUCUUCUUAAAGAUCUGCGUUGUGAUAUUGAGAAGUUAUCUCUGCAAACCAAUAUAAGAUAGGUCUCUUCUUCAAAACAUGUCUCUUCUCGGACACUAUCACCAACAAAAGUUCGUGUUAUGUUUAAUUUUUUGCAGGCUUUAGAUGUGUGGAUGUGCAUGUUGCUGUGCCUAUAGAAUUUGCAACAUCUCCUUUUUGUAUGAAUCAGAGGAGAUGGAUUAUCACCGUUCAGCGAUGUCACAGCACUUUCCUGGGAGAGUAGGUCCAUGAACCGAAACUUAAUGUCAAAACAAGUACAUGAAGGUAACAAUAACAGGACCGAGCCCUUGUCCAUAUCAUGGCUCAAUAUCCAAUCCUCCUCGGCCUCCUUUCUGCCAUCAUUGCUUUCUAACGUCUCGUACAAAUCCUAGCUAAAUUCUUCACAUUCGUAAUUGUAAUUGUUUUGAGUUGGUGGUAAUUGAACAAAUCCAGGGAAACAUAGAAAAAUCACUGCAACGAUUGGGAGAACCGCCAUUAUUAACGGAAGAAUUACUGCCUAUGGGAGCUUCAGUCAACAGAACCACAGAACGCCAAGAUCCAUAACCAUCUCAAUGUUCAGUAAUGCUAGAUAAACGUUAAAAAUUAUCCACAAGAUCCAACGUGAAUAGGCCCAGGGUUUGAGUGGCAUCUCACCCCUAGCCACGGCUCAUCCGCUGAUUAAAAUGCCAAUCCUGCUUGUACGCCCGAUACUCUUCUCGGAAUGUUUAAACAAGCAAAACAUUUUGUUCGAGAAUCCCAGUUAAUUAGUUACUCAUUGGAGGUUUGCAAAAUUAGUUAGUGUAUCAAUUUUAUAGGUUUCUUUGAGCUCCUAGCAUUGCUCCUCUGUUUCUGGAGGAUCCCUUACGAUGCCCCGUCUUAAGGGUGUCUAAAUGGAGGUGGUGGCUCCCGAAAUCAGAUGCUAUCUGACAUGUAUUUGCCUCUGUAAAUAAGACCUUCUGAACUCGAAAUGCUUCACUAUCCCACGAGAAGAGGGAGGCUGAGGAGUAGAAAGUAGACUCUGAGAUGCUUCUGAGGGAAUACCACUCGGGCUGAGUUUCAUUGGCACUCUUGAUGAGAACAGAGUAUGUAAAAUGCAAAGACGGACAUGCCAAAUCUAUGGUCUCACCAAUCUUAAUUAAUCUAAUGUUCAGAAUAAAGAUGAAAUUAAUUAUAUAUACUCUAUCUGCCUAGAAACAUAAAUAUGGGCCAAGGCAGAAUAUUUAGAUACCAUAUAAAUCAGACAUAAUGGCACUUGAGAGGUUGGUAUACUGAAAUUUAACUCGACUACUGUGAUUAAAUGACUUCUUAUAUGUAUUGUCGCUGCCGGGUCCAACCACAACGGUCAUGCCCAAGUGCUCAAAUUAUAGACUAAGCAAGCCUUUAGCAAUUAUACUAGUACUUGUUUUUUGUAUUUUGGCAACAUAUGUACAUAAUGUCAUUCUAUUAUCAGGAAUUGGAUUUAACUGCAAUACCAGCAAUGUCUUGGAAAUAACAGAAGCUCUUUCAUUUCAAGAAGAUAUCUUGAAGUCUUCUCGAUGUUUAUUUAUUAACUGCUCAAGCAAGAAAAGAAGUUAAAGGGAUUAUUUUUCAACGAAUUACUUGCCUUCUAAACAAAAGAGGCUGCUAAAAGAAGUAACAAUAUAUAUAUUAACGCUGAAUGAUUUGCAAUGAAUCUGAAAGCUGCUUAAGGAAAGUUUCUGAUUCUCAUUUACCUAGCCCUUGCUGAUCUGAUNNNNNNNNNNNNNNNNNNNNNNNNNNNNNNNNNNNNNNNNNNNNNNNNNNNNNNNNNNNNNNNNNNNNNNNNNNNNNNNNNNNNNNNNNNNNNNNNNNNNNNNNNNNNNNNNNNNNNNNNNNNNNNNNNNNNNNNNNNNNNNNNNNNNNNNNNNNNNNNNNNNNNNNNNNNNNNNNNNNNNNNNNNNNNNUGAUGAAGAUAGGAAUCUUGCCUGUUUAUGCUCUCUUUCCCACUAUUUAAGAUAAUAUUUUCUUCAAACUUCAAUUUUUUUUUCCUAAUACGUUAGACUGCCCCAACUGUAGCAUAGCUUUGCCAAACAAUUAAUCUUUAUCAUUUAUCUGUGUGCUAUUAAAAAUGUGAUCUUUAUGAAGGUGAAACCAAUCUAAUGGUACCUUAAUUGCACCUUUUUAAGUUCAAGCUCCCAAGCACAGUUCCUGAUCCUUAUCGUGUUUUUAAGGUUCAUGAUUUAGUGGGAGAACCGCUUAGACUUUGCACCUAAAAAAUGAGAAAAGUAUUACAAAAGUUCUAAAUCUAUUGCAUUGGUAUUAAUUCAAUUCUAAAAUUUUCAAAUGGAUCAAUUUAGUUUUAAACAUUUUCAUAUUGGUUCCAAAUUUAGUCAAUUCAACUAAUUUUGGUAAAAAAUCGGGUGAUUGAGGCGAUCGGCCAGAGGCAAUUCUAUGUCGCACGAUUAGCGUUGAUGUGGAUAUUUUUUUAUAUAGCUUUUCAAUAAUUUUAUGAUAUUUUUUUUUCCUUUCCCUUUCCCUUUUUUUUUUUUUUUUUUUGGGCCAUGGCUGGCGAGGGUCACUCUUGCAAGCCACGGGCGAGGGAUGGCCUUGUGCAGCCGCACCUAGGGAAGGGCAUGCACUGGCAAGGGGUGGCCUCACCAAAUCUAGUGAGAGGGGCCUUGUCGGCCCUCGCCCGAGUGUGGCUUGGCGAGGUCGACCCUUGCCAUGAAUGACCUACAUUUGAUUUGACUAGACCAAGAAUGUUGAUUUAGUUUAGCGAGCAAAAAAUCGAUUUCAAAUAUACAACCUAUUGAAAUAUAUAUAGAGGUCUUUCCCCACCUAAAAACUUAAAUUUUUGGAUUGGUUUUUGUAAUUUGGUAUCAAAGCUAAUGCUAUUCUUUUUUUGUAUUAGUAUCCGCUUCUAUCAGUCAAAUUCCAUGUGUUAGCUUCUAGUUCGGCUUGCACAUAAGAGAGGACAUUACUUGAUAGCGGAUUCUAUAUGAUCUUUAUAUUUAUGUGGUUUUUUUUUUUUCAUUUAAAAUUUAAAUCUUGAAUAGCAUUGCCGUCCCCAACAUGCCGAAAUGAUUAAUGAAAGCUGUUCAAGAAUCAUACUUGCAAGAGAAAACUGCUUAUGUACAGGUACAUAGAAUUUUACAAUUUCCCGAGGCUUCUGAAAAUUUACCAACAGUCGAAUGCCUGAGACAUUCCACUUUUUCGUAGUCGCUGAUAGGAAUAGAAGAGUCUUGAACGGACAAGGACCAUAAUUCCAGGCGAAAUAUCAUAUGCAGGUCAUGGCAUGCCUCUGUUCAAUGUAGCAAGACGACAAAGAAAGAGGCAGAAGGAAAAUAAUAAUGCUUUUAAUUUGGGCACGAUACAUCUGUCUGUAUUCUUACCAUCUGCCAAGGACAGAAGCAAAUCCCACAUGUUUAGUUUAGCAGAAAGGAUCAUUACGAGAUCUGCUUUUGGAUGCUUUCUUAGAUUUUAGGUUAAGGAUGUCGAUGAUGUGGACUACGUGACAUGUAUAGGCGGCAAAUAAUUACUCCAAAAGUACACAUGAUUGCUUUAACUUUCUUUACGUAGCUAUGCUGCUGUAUAGAUUCUUGCACAUAAUAAAUUAUAUCCAACAUACAUCAAGCACAGACCACAGACACGUAUACGUGAAUAAUGCUUGACCUGCAUGAUCAGGUAAUAGAUGGAGCCUCCCUUUAUCUUUCCCAUUUUGGGGCAAGCAAAUCUUGUUGUAGGUCUAGCUAGAAACUUCAAGGCAGCUACCUUUUGUUUUUUUUUUUUGUUUUCGUCAAAAUUGGGAUCGGAGGAUCUAUACUUUAAAUGGGAUAGCGCGCCCCCAAACAGGUCCUCCCCACUCACAAAAAAAAGUUGAUUAACUUUUAAGUCCACGACCAUCUAUUUUUCAUGAAGGUGGAUGGAUGGCAUGUUGAGUAGUUGACAUCCGAAAAUUCAAGAAGAUAUGCUACGCACUAGCACCGGAAUGAGGCUGUAAUGGCAUGUUCAUCAUAUGACAAUAGUUAAUUAUACCUCGAAUCAAAGAUUAUGUAUAUCGGUGUGGAACUCUUCUAAUAAUAUUCAAAGAGGUCGGCAAUGGAGAUCAUUGAUCUUUCCACUUUUCAAAAAAGAAAGUGCGAAAGUGCAAUCACCAAAGGGUAUGCUCGUCAAUUCACACGGUGCUCCCCAUUAGCUACAGCACUUUAGGACUUCUAUAAGAGGAGAAAAGGAGGCACCAUGAUUCCAUGUCUACCCAAAACCCACAAAGCAAACAGGAUUGCAUCAUUCCCUGCCCCAGGCACAGCUUGCCUCUAGCUUGCCUUUAGCUUUGCGCCCAAAAACGAAACAAUCGAGCAAAAGAUGGAUCAAAAUGACAACCUGAUGAAAGUCCAGAAUGUUCACAAAAUCAACAGCAAGAACAGCCACUUCCUCAUGAGGGCUUUGAAAUUUGUCAUCUCGAUCUCUCUGCUGUCCUUCGUUGUGUGUUAUUCCUCAGGAUACUCUCUCUUCCCUCACUCCUUCAACCUCUGCUUCUCCACGAUCCUCUUUCGGAUUUUCACUCGCUCCCUG